rnacentral:rRNA from 1 species
GAUGAACGCUGGCGGCGUGCCUAAUACAUGCAAGUCGAGCGAACAGAUAAGGAGCUUGCUCCUUUGACGUUAGCGGCGGACGGGUGAGUAACACGUGGGUAACCUACCUAUAAGACUGGGAUAACUUCGGGAAACCGGAGCUAAUACCGGAUAACAUUUGGAACCGCAUGGUUCUAAAGUGAAAGAUGGUUUUGCUAUCACUUAUAGAUGGACCCGCGCCGUAUUAGCUAGUUGGUAAGGUAACGGCUUACCAAGGCAACGAUACGUAGCCGACCUGAGAGGGUGAUCGGCCACACUGGAACUGAGACACGGUCCAGACUCCUACGGGAGGCAGCAGGAGGGAAUCUUCCGCAAUGGGCGAAAGCCUGACGGAGCAACGCCGCGUGAGUGAUGAAGGGUUUCGGCUCGUAAAACUCUGUUAUUAGGGAAGAACAAAUGUGUAAGUAACUGUGCACGUCUUGACGGUACCUAAUCAGAAAGCCACGGCUAACUACGU